AUGAACGCUAGCGACAGGCCUAACACGAUGCAAGUCAGGGGCAGCACAAGGAGCAAUCUGAGGUGGCGACCGGCGCACGGGUGAGUAACACGUAUGCAACCUGCCUGUAAGCGGGGAAUAACCCGUUGAAAGACGGACUAAUACCGCAUAAUACUAAAUUACUGCAUGGUAAUUUAUUUAAACAUUUAUGGCUUACAGAUGGGCAUGCGCAUGAUUAGCUAGUUGGAGAGGUAACGGCUCCCCAAGGCAACGAUCAUUAGGGGUUCUGAGAGGAAGGUCCCCCACACUGGUACUGAGACACGGACCAGACUCCUACGGGAGGCAGCAGUGAGGAAUAUUGGUCAAUGGACGAGAGUCUGAACCAGCCAAGUCGCGUGCAGGAAGAAUGUCCCUAUGGAUUGUAAACUGCUUUUGCAGGGGAAUAAAGUGCAUCACGUGUGAUGUUUUGUAUGUACUCUGCGAAUAAGGAUCGGCUAACUCCGUGCCAGCCGCCGC
rnacentral:rRNA from 1 species